rnacentral:rRNA from 1 species
AUACGUAUGUCGCAAGCGUUAUCCGGAUUUAUUGGGCGUAAAGCGCGUCUAGGCGGCUUAGUAAGUCUGAUGUGAAAAUGCGGGGCUCAACCCCGUAUUGCGUUGGAAACUGCUAAACUAGAGUACUGGAGAGGUAGGCGGAACUACAAGUGUAGAGGUGAAAUUCGUAGAUAUUUGUAGGAAUGCCGAUGGGGAAGCCAGCCUACUGGACAGAUACUGACGCUAAAGCGCGAAAGCGUGGGUAGCAAACAGGAUUAGAUACCGUGGUAGUCCACGCCGUAAACGAUGAUUACUAGGUGUUGGGGGUCGAACCUCAGCGCCCAAGCUAACGCGAUAAGUAAUCCGCCUGCGGAGUACGUACGCAAGUAUGAAACUCAAAUGAAUUGGCGGGG